rnacentral:sRNA from 1 species
UGAUAUGGGGGCGGAAAGUCAAAAAGCGUACAUGCUUGCAUGUUAAGCUUUUUGACCUAACGGCCCUAACAAACAUGAGGAAUUAGCAAUUUACGUAGUAAAUUAGCGUUUUCCGAAUGUUUGUAGAAGUGCGAGAGUUUCGAAGAAACGGAGCACUUCGUAUAUCA